ACCUAAAACCCCCAAAACUCAAACCCCUCCUCGUCUCUCCAGUCUCCGUCCCGCUUCUGUUCUUGAAAAUGGGGAAGAAGAUCCCACCAUUUCUGAGACCAUUAAACCUCCUCCGACGCAAUUACCAAACAAAAAAUCAUCCCCUUCCCACUCAACAGCUCGCAGCUAUUCCACCACCACCACCACCACCACAGCAACCGUAUUCCGCUUCAUCUGAUAAGAGAACAAAGAAAAAUUCACUACAACCCUCACCAUCAACUAAACCAAUUUUCACCUCUCGGAGUCUCACUGAUGCAAAGAAAACCUUCGAUUACAUCCUCUCUACUUCUCCAUUUCCACUCGAUACUCGCCACAACAAUUCCCUCCUUGAAUCCUACACCCAAGUUGCAACAUUAGAUGAUUCUAUUUCAUUCCUUGCUCACAUGAGGAAGAAACAACCUUCAUUUUCUCCUGAUUCUUCAACUUACAAUGUCAUGUUUUGUCAUCCUUGCAAAUUACAUUUGGAAUUUGUUGAUGACAUCUCCAUUGUCCGUAAGGUGCUUGAUUUUAUGGCUGCUGAUGGUUUCUCUCCUGGUCAUGGUACAGUUGAUUUAGCUGUUCGUUCUUUGUGUUCCGUUGGACGAGAGGAACGUGCUAUUAUGCUAGUUAAGGAGUUGUCGGCGAAAUACUCACCACCUGAUAUUUUUACUUACAAUUUUUUGGUUAGGCAUUUGUGUAAAACUAUGUCGAUAGAUAGUGUUUACGGUUUCAUUGACGAAAUGAGAGAUUCGUUUUCGGUGAAGCCUGAUAUUGUUACUUACACAAUUUUGAUUGAUAGUGUAUGUAAUAGGAAGAAUUUAAGAGAAGCAAGAAGAUUAAUUGGAGUGCUUGGAGAAGCUGGGUUUAAACCGGAUGCUUUUCUUUAUAAUACAAUCAUGAAGGGUUACUGUACACUGAAUCGGGGAAGUGAGGUGGUUGGUGUUUAUAAUGAAAUGAUGGCAAAAGGUAUCGAGCCUGAUGUUGUGACUUAUAAUACGAUGAUUUUUGGGUUGUCAAAGGUGGGAAGACUUGACGAAGCUAGGAAAUAUUUGGCUGUAAUGGCUGAAAUGGGCCAUUUUCCAGACACGGUUACGUACACGAGUUUAAUGAAUGGGAUGUGUAGGAAAGGAGAUGCAAUUGGAGCUUUGCGUUUGCUUGGGGAAAUGGAGGGGAAGGGUUGUGAACCUAAUUCUGUUACUUAUAAUACUUUACUUUAUGGAUUGUGCAAGUCGAGAUUGUUGGAUAAAGGGUUGGAGUUGUAUGAGGUGAUGAAAUCCAAAGAGAUGAAACUUGAGCCAGCUUCUUAUGCUACUUUUGUUAGGAUGUUGUGUAGGGAGGAUAAAAUGGCAGGAGCAUAUGAAGUUUAUGAUUAUGUGGUGGAGAGUAAGAGUUUAACAGAUGUUGCUGCAUAUGAGGGCUUGGAGAAUGAACUUAAGUGGCUGAAGAAAGCUAAAGCUAAAGCUCAAGGAAUUGCUUAAGUGGUGUAGAAGGAACCAGUGAAUGCAGCUACACAUCCGAGAUCAGCGAGAGAGGCCGAGCUUGUUAAAAUAUAUGUCAUAAUUUUUCUGUGGUUCUUAAGGCCGACCAUCAUCAUUUUUCCGUGAUGCAGAGAAAGUCUGCCUACCUACUAGCAAAUGGUUGUACUAACUGAAAUGCAACAGAGACAAUCCUACGAGCAGACUAAGAGCUUCCUGCUAGCAAAGUCCUGUAGCUGCAGCUUUGCGGAGAAAGGUGCAGGUCUGGUCUGAGGCCCAAUAGCUACAACUUAAGGUUUUUGAGGAGUGACGUAAAGUCCGUAGUUGACCUGUCAACAGUGGGCUUGAUCUGAAACUGAAACGCUUCUGAAGGAGCACUCACAACUGAGAACUGCUUGACAUUCAUAAUCAAGAUGCGUUCUGGUUUCAAUCAAUCUUACUGGACCACAAAGGUAUGAAAUCAAAGCCCUAAAUCUUUAUUAGUUUCAAUCAAAAGAUGAUUCUUAUUGGAUAUACUUUGGUGGUAAAUGCUCGUUAGAAAACUACUGAGAACAUUAUACUCUA